UUGUUCUCAGUCUCGAGCUCCAGAGAGUCCAGGCUGAAAAUACAUCACAGUUCAGACGUCAUGUCUCAGAAUACACCAUGUUCCCGUCGUUCCUGCCUCCUUGUUUUAUAUUAUAUGUGUUUUCUAGCUUUUGCUCUGUUUUCUUCUUGCGCUCUCGUUUGACUGAGCUCCUCCUCAUCUGCUCGUUAGUCCUGUUUCCACUCUUGCGUUUCCCUCCACACCUGAUCUGAAUCAGCAUCGUUAGCCCGGCUCUGUUCCCAGCGUUCCUCCCACGCUGCGUCUCAACUCAGGGUCUGCAUCCUUUCUGAAGGCCAAUUACGUCACAUUGCCACACAAAGGCAUCCUCCUUCUCCCUGUUUCUGGAGGAUCCAACCGCUACAGUCUUUCAUGGCCUCAUAUAUCCCAAGAUUCUUUGUGCGCCUGAAAAAGAAGAAAGAAGGAGAGAAAAUGGCGACAUCGCGUGGCGUAGUUCGUCACUUUCGCGGGCCUGGGCGGGAGAACUCAUAUCGUAAGGGUAAAACAUCUGGUGAUGCAACCAGGAAAUGUUCCGAAGGCGAGACCGUCACAUUUAACAACGGCUGACGAGGUUAACAAGGAAGAUUCUCCCCACCUGUGCAUCUCCACCUGUCCUCACCCCCUCGUUAGUGUAGUCUGUAUUAAGUCCAGUCAUUAGUUCAGACUUUGUGGAACAUCAGAGCGGGACACUGACUGAGACUGAAGAACAGCUGCUGCAUCAGAGCCAAAGCAUUGCAGAUGCCGGUCCAUCCCUCGUCCCAGGGUCUCGUUAAAUGCUUUCAGUCUCAGAUGAAACAGCAGAACCUGAAUUAAAACAGUGGAUUUUUCCGCCCUCUUCGUGUUUUAAGUUUCAGAGCGGUCUGUUGAGCGAGCCAGCGGCCUCUUGACCUCUGCCGUCCUGUCACGUUUGUUUUACUGCGCUCUUGUGUCGGCUAAACAAGAAAAAAACAUUACAAAACUUCAAAUCAUCCCGAGAGUAAACACAAGAGACAAAGAGGAACUGCACGAGUUGACAGGAAAGAAUUUGUUUGUUUGCAGGAUUAUUCUGGUGUCUGGUGUUUCUUUCAUCAUGUAUGUUUUGUUUCGCUGUGUACUUGCAGACAGAGUGCGUUCGUCGGUCCAGCAGUGAACCUGAACGACCCACAAACCUGGAAAAGCCUCCGAGGAGCCUCUUGGAGCGGUUCUGAUGUUGUGUUUAUGGGACGAGUCGUGGUUCUGGAUGUGUGGUCUGCUGCUUCUUUUGGCCUCCGACGAGCGGCAAUAAAAACUUGGAUCUUCUCUGGAAGCUGUUACGGCUGACAGUGAUUCAGCAGAGACCGAAACCAGAACCGAACAGCAGCUGCGUGCAGAUACUCAUCAGGACGGAGAACUCCACAGGGAGGCGGUCCUGUCGGGUCCUGAACGUGUCGACGACAGGAUCGUCCUGGUGGCUGUGAUGCAGAGAGGAGGGAGGAGACGCCGACUGCCGACCUGUCAGGUGAAAUUAACCACAAUAACGCCAGUCCUGUUAGUCAUCAAAUGAUUUUUAAAUUGUUUCAAGGUACUUUUCCAUGUUUUACCACAGAAACUGUGAUGUAGUCAACAUGAGAGUGUUGAGGACUUUAAAAAACAGAUUAAAAUCAGAUUAAAGGAAAGAUUGGAAACGCAGCAGGACGGACCUGUUAUCAAUUACUCACUGAUUGUCCAUGAUGAUAAAACCUGAGCAGCUGCCUCCCUUCAAAGGAAUUUCAUUAAUUUGGGAUCUUUAGAGUGAAGAAAUCAUAGAGUAUUUAUCAAAAUGAUGGAUUUUCUUUGUUGUUACAAUGUUCUCACAGCUUUUACUGGCGAUCGUUUUAGAGUUAUUCUUUUUUAAUCAACAGUGAGCUGGAGCACUUCGCAGGUCUUGUGACUUCGGAUCCCACUGCACAUAAAUCUCGUUGCAGACCUCAAUCUAUGUGUAUUUAGGUUUUUUGCACAGUAAAUCAUAAACUAUAUGAUUUGUGAGUCGUCGUGUGCAAUUAAAUCCAAUUUGACGUUAACGUGUCUCGAGCUCUGAGAGUGAGAACAGCAUCAACAUCACGAGCUGCUUCCUGCAAGAACACCACAAAGAAAAGACGCAGAGAAAAGACCUGCUCGUCUGUCCAGUCAGUUAGAGACGGCAAACGUAAGAAAAUAAAACAUCAGCUCAACUUUAUUUUGGAUCCAAGUGGGAGAAAAGCAACAGACGAGGAGCGAGAAGCCGUUCAGAGUGAAGAGGCUUCAGAUCUCCUCCACGCUUCAGCACAUUUUAACUUCUCAACAGUAAACGACUUAAAGACCGUUUGGUUUUGGAACGCCGGCAAUGAGAAAA